AUUUUCAGCAAACUGCAGCAAUUAAACUACAGAAAUAACCACUUUUCCAUAAAAAACAAGGUCUAAAUCAUGUUUGAUGCACUCUGGAUACAAUGUUUUCAACAUAACUGUUCAAACUAGACGAUAUAGGGACCAUUUUCAGCAAACUGCAGCAAUUAAACUACAGAAAUAACCACUUUUCAAUAAAAAACAAGGUCUAAAUCAUGUUUGAUGCACUCUGGAUACAAUGUUUUCAACAUAACUGUUCAAACUAGACGACAGGGACCAUUUUCAGCAAACUGCAGCAAUUAAACUACAGAAAUAACCACUUUUCCAUAAAAAACAAGGUCUAAAUCAUGUUUGAUGCACUCUGGAUACAAUGUUUUCAACAUAACUGUUCAAACUAGACGAUAGGGACCAUUUUCAGCAAACUGCAGCAAUUAAACUACAGAAAUCACCACUUUUCCAUAAAACAAGGUCUAAAUCAUGUUUGAUGCACUCUGGAUACAAUGUUUUCAACAUAACUGUUCAAACUAGACGAUAUAGGGACCAUUUUCAGCAAACUGCAGCAAUUAAACUACAGAAAUAACCACUUUUCAAUAAAAAACAAGGUCUAAAUCAUGUUUGAUGCACUCUGGAUACAAUGUUUUCAACAUAACUGUUCAAACUAGACGAUAUAGGGACCAUUUUCAGCAAACUGCAGCAAUUAAACUACAGAAAUAACCACUUUUCCAUAAAACAGGGUCUAAAUCAUGUUUGAUGCACUCUGGAUACAAUGUUUUCAACAUAACUGUUCAAACUAGACGAUAGGGACCAUUUUCAGCAAACUGCAGCAAUUAAACUACAGAAAUAACCACUUUUCCAUAAAAAACAAGGUCUAAAUCAUGUUUGAUGCACUCUGGAUACAAUGUUUUCAACAUAACUGUUCAAACUAGACGAUAGGGACCAUUUUCAGCAAACUGCAGCAAUUAAACUACAGAAAUAACCACUUUUCCAUAAAAAACAAGGUCUAAAUCAUGUUUGAUGCACUCUGGAUACAAUGUUUUCAACAUAACUGUUCAAACUAGACGAUAUAGGGACCAUUUUCAGCAAACUGCAGCAAUUAAACUAGAGAAAUAACCACUUUUCCAUAAAAAACAAGGUCUAAAUCAUGUUUGAUGCACUCUGGAUACAAUGUUUUCAACAUAACUGUUCAAACUAGACGAUAUAGGGACCAUUUUCAGCAAACUGCAGCAAUUAAACUACAGAAAUAACCACUUUUCCAUAAAAAACAAGGUCUAAAUCAUGUUUGAUGCACUCUGGAUACAAUGUUUUCAACAUAACUGUUCAAACUAGACGAUAUAGGGACCAUUUUCAGCAAACUGCAGCAAUUAAACUACAGAAAUAACCACUUUUCAAUAAAAAACAAGGUCUAAAUCAUGUUUGAUGCACUCUGGAUACAAUGUUUUCAACAUAACUGUUCAAACUAGACGAUAGGGACCAUUUUCAGCAAACUGCAGCAAUUAAACUACAGAAAUAACCACUUUUCCAUAAAAAACAAGGUCUAAAUCAUGUUUGAUGCACUCUGGAUACAAUGUUUUCAACAUAACUGUUCAAACUAGACGAUAUAGGGACCAUUUUCAGCAAACUGCAGCAAUUAAACUACAGAAAUCACCACUUUUCCAUAAAAAACAAGGUCUAAAUCAUGUUUGAUGCACUCUGGAUACAAUGUUUUCAACAUAACUGUUCAAACUAGACGAUAUAGGGACCAUUUUCAGCAAACUGCAGCAAUUAAACUAGAGAAAUAACCACUUUUCCAUAAAAAACAAGGUCUAAAUCAUGUUUGAUGCACUCUGGAUACAAUGUUUUCAACAUAACUGUUCAAACUAGACGAUAUAGGGACCAUUUUCAGCAAACUGCAGCAAUUAAACUACAGAAAUAACCACUUUUCCAUAAAAAACAAGGUCUAAAUCAUGUUUGAUGCACUCUGGAUACAAUGUUUUCAACAUAACUGUUCAAACUAGACGAUAGGGACCAUUUUCAGCAAACUGCAGCAAUUAAACUACAGAAAUAACCACUUUUCCAU